AACGAACGCUGGCGGCAUGCCUAACACAUGCAAGUCGAACGGGAUCCUAGCUUGCUAGGUGAGAGUGGCGGACGGGUGAGUAACACGUGGGAAUCUGCCUUUUGGUUCGGGAUAACCGCGGGAAACUGCGGCUAAUACCGAAUGCCCUCGAGAGAGGAAAGAUUUAUCGCCAGGAGAGGAGCCCGCGUCCGAUUAGGUAGUUGGUGGGGUAAAGGCCUACCAAGCCGACGAUCGGUAGCUGGUCUGAGAGGAUGAUCAGCCACACUGGGACUGAGAUACGGCCCAGACUCCUACGGGAGGCAGCAGUGGGGAAUAUUGGACAAUGGGGGCAACCCUGAUCCAGCAAUGCCGCGUGAGUGAUGAAGGCCUUAGGGUUGUAAAGCUCUUUUGCCAGGGAAGAUGAUGACUGUACCUGGAGAAUAAGCCCCGGCUAACUUCGUGCCAGCAGCCGCGGUAAU
rnacentral:rRNA from 1 species